rnacentral:lncRNA from 1 species
AUUUGUUUAUUUUAUAAAUGUGUCACUAUUCUAUUUUAUACCUCUUUUUCUUAAAAAUUAGUGUUAUACAUUAUAAUAUUUUACUUGUUUUAAAUUUUACACCUUUUUUUAAUAAAAAAGCUAUAAUAUCAAUAAUUAUAAUGUCUUUUGUACACUAGUGUGUUUCUUAAUAAUAUCGUUGUAUCUAUCACAACAAAAGUCUAACACACAUUUUCUC